AGUCAUAUGCUUGUCUCAAAGAUUAAGCCAUGCAUGUCUAAGUAUAAGCAAUCUAUACAGUGAAACUGCGAAUGGCUCAUUAAAUCAGUUAUCGUUUAUUUGAUAGUACAUUACUACUUGGAUAACCGUGGUAAUUCUAGAGCUAAUACAUGCUAAAAAUCCCGGCCUCUGGUUGGGAUGUAUUUAUUAGAUAAAAAACCAAUGUCUUCGGACUCUUUGGUGAUUCAUAAUAACUUUUCGAAUCGCAUGGCCUUGUGCUGGCGAUGGUUCAUUCAAAUUUCUGCCCUAUCAACUUUCAAUGGUAGGAUAGAGGCCUACCAUGGUUUCAACGGGUAACGGGGAAUAA
rnacentral:rRNA from 1 species